CUGCAACUUGUAAUUAUUUUCAUCAAAGAUUAAUCUGUUAAUUAUUUUCCAGAUUAAUUGAUCAGUUGCUUGGUCAAUAAAAAGUCCAAGGUGAAGUAUUCAUUUCACUGUCAGAGGACUAAAUAAGCUAGAAAAUAUUCACAUUUGAGAAGCUGAAAUCAUAUUUGGACAUUAAAAAAAAAAGAAAAAGAAAAAAAGAAAAAUUACUCAAAAUGAUAAAUCGUGUCAAUGUAUUGGGUGACUUUGUAUGUGUUGUUUCUAUGUGUGUGGGGGGUAUUGUUUUUUAUUGUACAAAGCACUUUGUGUUGCAUUUUGUUUGUAUAAAAAGUGCUAUACAAAUAUUGUCAGAUGGAUUGAAUGAUUUAGUAGUUGACAACUAACUGAUUAAUUGACUAAUCUUUGCAGCUCUACAAAGAGGCGCCAUCUUGAGCCGCCAACAGACACAGAUGAAAUCGAUUCAAGCGACUCAACAAUCAUUCUGGAUCGGUCCACAGAAGGAAGUGGCAGCCCAGGCUCGGCCAGUAAAGAAAAUGAGUUAGAAGGAAAAAGAGGACCCCAAAGCCUACUUGAAGAAGCACCCUCUGCCCUGUCCAGUCCUGAUACUAACAAGCCUGCAGAUGUUGACUGUCCAGACACCUACAGUCCAGCAACCUUGGCCAAGCACUACAAGACCCUACAAACUUUGUAUAAAAGAAAAAAUCCAAACCACCAGGAUGUCUCUCAUCUCUUGGAUUUGGAAUUUGCUACCAGAAGAGCAUUCAUUGAUUCAA